CCGCAGCGCGCGGGCGUUGUUUUGAGGCGGCCACUUCCGGUAGGGCCGGCACGUGGGGAACCUGGUUCGCGUUCGUGGAUGUUUCUGAGUUUUUCGGACGUUUCCUCUUGCCGCACGGGCUAGUGAUGCGUUCUCAGUCGCUAAGUCAUGUCCGACUCUUUGCGACCCCAUGGACUGCAGCACGCCAGGCUCCCUUGUCCUUCACAGUCCCCCGGAGUUUGCUCAGAUUCAUGUCCAUUGAGUUGGCGAUGCCAUCCGACCGUCUCAUCCUCUGUUGCCCCCUUCUUCUCCUGCCUUCAGUCUUUCCCAGCAUCAGGAUCUUGUUCAGGAAAGAAGUAUUUUCUCUACGUGUGCUUUUAAGAUGACUCAUUUAUUCAUGAAGUUGCUAAAGUGUAUAUAAAAAGAAAAGUAUAAAAUAUUUCAAGUCUUAUACAGAUGUAUAUAUACAUGCAUACAUACACACAUACACCAUACAUAAAAAAUUUUUUUAACCAUUUUAUUGUUUUCUGUGUUUUAACCAUGUGAGGUAUUUAUGCCUAAGGCUCUUUUGACCACAGCACUUUAUUCCAUUCAUUCUAUGCAACUCUUAACUCUCUUGAUACUCUUGUGUGUUAUCAUUGUAAUUGAAAUACAACUUACAAAUAAUAAAAUACAGAUUAUUAACUAUGCAGUUUUGCUGUUGAUUACAGCCCAAUAACCACCACUAAAAUCAAGAUAGAUUUGUCACUCCUGAAACUUCCUUCACGCCUGAUUUCCUACCCUCACUCUCAGAGGAAACCACUUUGUUUUUGUGACAGUAGAUUUGUUUUGCCUGCUUUUUAAAUUUUUCUUUCAUUUGACUUCAUAUGAAUGGAACCAAGCAGUGUGUAAAUUUUAGUGUCUCCAGCUUUAGUCAUUCAGCAUGUUUUUUUGAGACUCACUGAUGAUGUCUAUUAGUAAUUUAUUUUCUACGGAGUAGUGUUCUGUUGUGUUAAUGUAGUACAAUCAGUUUAUCCAUGUUCUUCUUGAUAACAUUUGGGAUGUUUCUGGAUUUGGGGGCUAUUAUGAGUAAAACUAUGAAUACUUUUAUACAUGUGUAUUUGUAACACCUUGGAAAAUAGUUAUGAAAAAAUACUGGGGUUUAAAGAGUUUCAUGAAAAGUCAUUCAUUAAAAUAGUACAGUUUAUUUAAUCUAUGGUGAGAUGUUUUCUGCUGGAAAACAUUAAGACUCAGUGCCUCUGGAUUUUAUUGGAGGCUAGUUGCGAGGUACCUUCUGCCCAGUAUAUGCGGUGGUGGUGGCUUAGUCGCCAAGUCGUAUCCGACUCUUAAGACCCCAGGGACUGCAGCCUGCCAGGCUCCUUUGUCCGUGAGAUUUCCCAGACAAGAACACUGGAGUUGCCAAGUCCUUCUCCAGGGGAUUUUCCCGACCCAGGGAUGGAACCCAUGUCUCUUCCAUCUCCCGCAUUGUAGGCGGAUUCUUCACCGCUGAGGCACCAGGGAAGCCCCAACCUAGUAUAUGCCAUACGCUAUAUGCUUUUUAAAUUUAAACUCACAAUUAGCAUGUAGAAAAAUGCCUGGCUUUUAUAGGAACUUGAGUGGUUAGGACUCUGAGCUGUCCCUGCUGAGGGCCUUGGUUUAAUCACUCAUCAGGGAACUAAGAUCCCAUGGGUGUGGUAAAAUAAAACUUAGGCGGAAACCCUGUAAAAUCUGUCCUCUGCUAGCAUGUGGUCAACUCUGGAAACUUUCAUUUUUCCUUUUUAGGAAGUGAAGUUCAUCUAAAAUUGGAAAUUUUUGUAAAAAAUGGGAAGCGUUGAAACUUAUUUUGAAUGCCUUUUAUGUGUGUUAAUACAUCCUCAUUUUUAGUACUGUAGAAUGCUUUUACCAAAUUUUUAAGUGCUUAU